rnacentral:rRNA from 1 species
UGGGGAAUUUUGGACAAUGGGCGAAAGCCUGAUCCAGCAAUGCCGCGUGUGUGAAGAAGGCCUUCGGGUUGUAAAGCACUUUUGUCCGGAAAGAAAUCCUUGGCUCUAAUACAGUCGGGGGAUGACGGUACCGGAAGAAUAAGCACCGGCUAACUACGUGCCAGCAGCCGCGGUAAUACGUAGGGUGCAAGCGUUAAUCGGAAUUACUGGGCGUAAAGCGUGCGCAGGCGGUUUGCUAAGACCGAUGUGAAAUCCCCGGGCUCAACCUGGGAACUGCAUUGGUGACUGGCAGGCUAGAGUAUGGCAGAGGGGGGUAGAAUUCCACGUGUAACAGUGAAAUGCGUAGAGAUGUGGAGGAAUACCGAUGGCGAAGGCAGCCCCCUGGGCCAAUACUGACGCUCAUGCACGAAAGCGUGGGGAGCAAACAGGAUUAGAUACCCUGGUAGUCCACGCCCUAAACGAUGUCAACUAGUUGUUGGGGAUUCAUUUCCUUAGUAACGUAGCUAACGCGUGAAGUUGACCGCCUGGGGAGUACGGUCGCAAGAUUAAAACUCAAAUGAAUUGACGGGGUCAUAGCUGUUUCCU